rnacentral:rRNA from 1 species
GGACGAACGCUGGCGGCGUGCUUAACACAUGCAAGUCGAACGAAGCUACGGAGCUUGCUCUGUAGACUUAGUGGCGGACGGGUGAGUAACGCGUGAGUAAUCUGCCCAUAAGAGGGGGACAACAGCUGGAAACGGCUGCUAAUACCGCAUAAGACCACACCACCACAUGGUGGAGAGGUCAAAGAUUUAUCGCUUAUGGAUGAGCUCGCGUCCCAUUAGGUAGUUGGUAGGGUAAUGGCCUACCAAGCCCGCGAUGGGUAGCCGACCUGAGAGGGUGAUCGGCCACACUGGAACUGAGACACGGUCCAGACUCCUACGGGAGGCAGCAGUGGGGAAUAUUGGGCAAUGGGGGAAACCCUGACCCAGCAACGCCGCGUGAGGGAAGAAGGUCUUCGGAUUGUAAACCUCUGUCCUUGGGGACGAAACAAAUGACGGUACCCAAGGAGGAAGCCCCGGCUAACUACGUGCCAGCAGCCGCGGUAAUACGUAGGGGGCUAGCGUUGUCCGGAAUUACUGGGCGUAAAGGGAGCGUAGGCGGCUCCGUAAGUUAGAUGUGAAAUACCCGUGCUCAACAUGGGGGGUGCAUCUAAAACUGCGGGGCUUGAGUGCAGGAGAGGAAAGUGGAAUUCCUAGUGUAGGAGUGAAAUCCGUAGAUAUUAGGAGGAACACCGGUGGCGAAGGCGGCUACCUGGACCGAUACUGACGCUGAGACGCGAAAGCGUGGGGAGCAAACAGGAUUAGAUACCCUGGUAGUCCACGCCGUAAACGAUGAGUACUAGGUGUUGCGGGUAUUGACCCCU